GAUGAACGCUGACAGAAUGCUUAACACAUGCAAGUCAACUUGAACUUCGGUUUGGGUGGCGGACGGGUGAGUAACGCGUAAAGAACUUGCCUCACAGAUAGGGACAACAUUUGGAAACGAAUGCUAAUACCUGAUAUUAUGAUUAUAUGGCAUCGUAUAAUUAUGAAAGCUAUAUGCGCUGUGAGAGGGCUUUGCGUCCCAUUAGCUAGUUGGUGAGGUAACGGCUCACCAAGGCGAUGAUGGGUAGCCGGCCUGAGAGGGUGAUCCGGCACAAAGGGACCGGGGAACCGGCCUUUAUGCAUCGGGAAGAAGGAGAGGAGGAAUGUUGAAGAUAGACCGAGGGGUCGAUGCAAACAUUCUGGUUUGAAGGUGAAGUUUUUAGGAAAGGAAAGUCGUUUGCGUUUGGGAGGAAAAAAUGACGGUACCAACAGAAGAAGUGACGGCUAAAUACGUG
rnacentral:rRNA from 1 species